rnacentral:lncRNA from 1 species
CGGAAGUUUUUCAUUUUAUGUACCAUUCACACGUAACGUGAAUAAAGUUCUGUACUAUUCACACGUAACAUGAAUAAAGUGUAUGAAUAAAGUUUGAGAAGAUGAAUAAAGUGUACUAUUCACACGUAAGAUGAGUAAAGUUUGAGAAGAUGAAUAAAGUGUACUAUUCACACUUAGCAUGAAUAUACUUGGACCAUCUCCAACUAGGGUUCCUUAUCCUCUUUAUUUGGCAAAAUAAAUGGAGUUUUGCAAGUUGGAGAGAGAUAGACACAAAAAAUAGAUGGUGGGUCCUACCACUAAGUGGGUCCCACCAUCAUUAAUUAUAUUUUACUUUUUUCAAAAUUUUAUGUGUCUUUAUCUCUCCAAAUUGAAGAAAUGGAGAAACAUAUAAAUGAAGAGGAUCCUAACCCGUUCCUUACUUACCAUUAUCUAAUUAUUGUUUAUUCA